GCAGUCGCCACGGGAAUACGAAGGGUGCAAGCGUUACUCGGAAUUACUGGGCGUAAAGCGUGCGUAGGUGGUGGUUUAAGUCCGUUGUGAAAGCCCUGGGCUCAACCUGGGAAUUGCAGUGGAUACUGGGUCACUAGAGUGUGGUAGAGGAUAGUGGAAUUUCCGGUGUAGCAGUGAAAUGCGUAGAGAUCGGAAGGAACAUCUGUGGCGAAGGCGACUAUCUGGGCCAACACUGACACUGAGGCACGAAAGCGUGGGGAGCAAACAGGAUUAGAUACCCGAGUAGUCCCUGUCUCUUAUAC
rnacentral:rRNA from 1 species